ACGAAUUAGAACGAACCUGUGAAUUGCUCUCAGAGCUGAUGGGAUCUAAAAGGAACUCAUUCUGACCAAUCAGAAUCCAGAAUUCAUCAGAGCUGCGGUCAGAUUAACCGCGCUGAUUGCUUGUGUGUGUGUGUGUGUGUGUGUGUGUGUGUGUGUGUGUGAAUAGUGUGUUUCAUUACAACAGCCUUCCAAACACGCACUCACCAACUUGUGUCUUUUUUUUCUCCCACCAGGCCAUGGAUCAAGGAUUUUGUUGUUGUUGUUGUUGUUGUUGUUUUUCGAUUUCUAGCACUUUCAGCAUGUUUGCAACUCUAAUGCCAUCAGGAAAGCAUGCAGCCUGUGGAAUAUAAAUGUUUAAUCUGACAUUUAUUUGCAGUCCGUGAUGCACUUCAAAUUUUUUCUCCUGAUGCACUUGACUGAAGCGUGGAUUUGUAUUGGAAAACAGUCCUAGACAAUUACCAGUUACUGCACACGGUGCAUUUCAAGUGGUCUGAGAGUUCCUCCGAGGGGCCUUAGGGACAUAAUCUCCAAUUAUUUGAUCAAACAGCAUCACAACAAGAACAAAACUGAGAGAUUAGGACGCAGAAAGAUGAAAACAUUUAUUCCAGAGAGAACACAGCAGUGGGAAUGAAUUAACCGACGGGGAAAACAGAUCCAAAAACCUUGCCGGUGGACUGGCUUCUCUAAACAUCCCCUGAGAUGAGGACGAGUGUGUGAAUUUUCAACUAUGGCAUUUCACAACUAUACUCUUUCAUCGCUUACAAUGUGAUCGAUAUAUAACGAAGCGAAAAGCAUCAAAAUAAAUAUCAAAUAAAAUCAAUCCCAACGAAAGAUCUGACAAAUCCGAUUCCUUUCUUUGCCAUUUGUUACAGGAUCCGAUUACCGAUGUGUUCUCUCUCAGAUUUUUUUUGCAAGUAUCGACACGCUCACGAUAUUUGUUUAUCAGAUCAGCGCCAUCUCAGAUUGUUACUAUA